CCUACGGGGGGCAGCAGUAGGGAAUCUUCCACAAUGGACGAAAGUCUGAUGGAGCAACGCCGCGUGAGUGAAGAAGGGUUUCGGCUCGUAAAGGUCUGUUGGUAGUGAAGAAAGAUAGAGGUAGUAACUGGCCUUUAUUUGACGGUAAUUACUUAGAAAGUCACGGCUAACUACGUGCCAGCAGCCGCGGUAAUACGUAGGUGGCAAGCGUUGUCCGGAUUUAUUGGGCGUAAAGCGAGUGCAGGCGGGUCCAUAAGUCUGUUGUGAAAGCCUUCGGCUCAAACGGAGAAUUUGAUCCAAAACUG
rnacentral:rRNA from 1 species